GAGCAGAAGACACUGAGUGAGGUGUCCAGUAUGCAGAGCUGAUGAAGUGAACUUGAUCCCUGCUCUGGUGAAUCCAAGAAGGUAGCAACGUGUACUCAGUAUGUUUGGUGUCUCACAAGCAUCCAGUUGAACACUGGAGCCAUGGAGAGAGCUCAGUCUCACACCUAAGAAGGUUCUCUGAAUGUUGGUGAGACUGAGCUGAGCAGUACCUGCACAGUGUGCAGCUGUAAUGAAGCACUUGCCCUGGAAUCCUUCUUGCAAAUUUCUGUUGAUGCCCUCCCUGAGCUGUUGGUACAGAAACAACUUGAAACAGGUAUUAACCUUCCUUACCAAUGAAAGUUUAGUUACAAAGUCUCUUGCUCCAAAAAAGAGGUAGUUCUUUGCAACUUAUGUUUCAAAUAAUUUCAGUGUCAUUUUCUAAAGAAAGAUUCUGCGCUAGGACAAGACAGCUUGGAUGGUCUUUUCCAAGGGAUUAACCGAGGAAAGUUUCCCCCAAAUAAAUCUCGGUGGAGCAGAGUUCCUGCCUCCCUGCCCUGCCCCACUUCUUCCCCAGUGGACCCCGCCUCCCUGAAACGGCCAGUGCACACUCGGGCCCCAGUCCUGCCCUCCUUUCUCAGUGGCUCUGGAGUGUGAGUGUGAAGCUGGUGACAGAACACGCAGCCCAGGCCAGUCCCUGCUCCUGGCGGACGGGCAAGCUUACCUGGGCCAUCUGGGUUGCGGUGUUUCCCUUUGCCCCUAGGAGAACCAUGGCCAGGGCAGAGGAGAUGCUCACAGGAGAACAGAACACGUUGUGCGAAGGGUUAUCUUGACACAGUAUCUUUAAAAGGCGUAUGGCAAAAGUACCACUUGCAUUAGAAAGAGUUUCCAUGAUGCAGGGCCUGGAAGGGAAGAAUAAAGAGAAAUGCAGUUUCCACACUCCCUGAAUGUUACUG
rnacentral:lncRNA from 1 species